rnacentral:rRNA from 1 species
AACCUCUAGUGCACCAGUUGUCGUGCCAACGGCAUAGCUGGAUAGCUACGUUCGGACGGGAUAAACGCUGAAAGCAUAUAAGCGUGAAACCCACCUCAAGAUUAGAUAUCCCUCCCCUUCGGGGGCUGAAGACUCCUGGAAGACCACCAGGUUGAUAGGCUGGGUGUGGAAGUGCAGUAAUGCAUGAAGCUUACCAGUACUAAUCGGUCGUGAGGCUUGACCAUAAAA